rnacentral:rRNA from 1 species
GUCCACGCCGUAAACGAUGUUCACUCGCUGUUUGCGAUAUACAGUAAGCGGCCAAGCGAAAGCAUUAAGUGAACCACCUGGGGAGUACGUCGGCAACGGUGAAACUCAAAGGAAUUGACGGGGGCCCGCACAAGCGGAGGAACAUGUGGUUUAAUUCGAUGAUACGCGAGGAACCUUACCUGGGCUUAAAUGUAGGCUGCAUUCCGCUGAAAGGUGGAUUUCCGCAAGGACUGCUUACAAGGUGCUGCAUGGUUGUCGU